GGAACGGAACCUGCGGAAGGAUCAUUA
rnacentral:rRNA from 1 species